AUGAAUGUGAGUGAGACAACAUACUCGUGAGAAGAGAUUUGAUAUCGUAGUAUUACAGUAUGUUUGAGUCAUCUGUGUCGGUCUUGUUUAACUGGUUAAAACACGGUGUUGAUCGAUAGGACGUCUUGACCAAUACAGUUAUCGAAGGCCAUGUACGAUUUAAAGUUGACGAGAAAAGGACUUGCUUGACUAGAGCAGUGUUCCACUGUACUGUGUUAAUGGUGCCAGGCUCAGCACGUCUAUAUAUCUAUACUAGAGCAGUAUUCCACUGUACUGUGUUAAUGGUGCCAGCCAGGCUCAGCACGUCUAUACUAUAUAUCUAUAUUAGAGCAGUAUUCCACUGUACUGUGUUAAUGGUGCCGGCCAGGCUCAGCACGUCUGUAUAUCUAUAUUAGAGCAGUAUUCCACUGUACUGUGUUAAUGGUGCCAGGCUCAGCACGUCUGUAUAUCUAUAUUAGAGCAGUAUUCCACUGUACUGUGUUAACGGUGCCAGGCUCAGCACGUCUAUACUAUAUAUCUAUACUAGAGCAGUGUUCCACUGUACUGUGUUAAUGGUGCCAGGCUCAGCACGUCUAUAUAUCUAUACUAGAGCAGUGUUCCACUGUACUGUGUUAAUGGUGCCGGCCAGGCUGACUUCGGUGGAGGAACCAGGUUAACUGUUCUAGGUGGAGUAAAUCCACUGUGCUGGUGGUGUUGGCCAGGCUGACUUCGGUGGAGGAACCCGGUUAACUGUUCUAGAGUAACAAAGAUGGAGUUGAAACAAAGUCAGAGAGACAGUAAAGAUACUGCUUUGAGUCUCUGUGCUCGUACUCGGAGGCAUAUUUUGGAGCCGGCACCAAACUCACCGUUUUAGAUCCAAACAUCAAAGUCACUGAACCCACAGUGAAAGUCCUAGCACCCUCCGCUAAGGAGUGUGAAGAUAGAAACAAGAAGAAGAAGAAGACCCUAGUGUGUGUAGCCACCCGCUUCUACCCCGACCACGUCACGGUCUUCUGGCAAAUCAACAAUGUCAACAGAACUGAAGGUGCCGGGACCGACAACAGGGCCUUGUGGGAUAAAGAUGGUUUAUACAGUAUCACCAGCAGACUGAGAGUCCCAGCCAAUGAAUGGCACAAACCAGAGAACAGAUUCACCUGCAUUGUCAGCUUUUACAAUGGGACUGACAAUAUAUAUGUGAAUGACACCAUUAGUGGAGAUCUCCAAGGUCAAACUGGGGGAGAGAUAACGACAGAUUACUAUGUGAAGAGCACCCAGACUGCCAAGCUGGCCUACAGCAUCUUCAUCGCUAAGAGUACCUUCUACGGCCUGGUCGUCAUGGUUAUGAUUUGGAAGUUCCAGGGCUCCUCAGAGAAACAGAUUUAACGGAAGCGGCCCAAGGAGGAUGUCCUGCAUGGGUGUUGAUUCUUCCAUGUGCUCAAGAACGGACUGGCAAAUGGGCAAUUCUGGCAAAUGCCAGAUGGACCGAUUCAUCUUUAGCCCAGUGGGCCUGUCUAAAUGGUAUUAUUUUUUUAGCAAAAUAAUAAUAAUUUGCCUAGUAAAGAGGGUCUUAAAGAAAAACAUGGGCAGGUGUGUUCGAAAUGCCUGGGCCGGUUUCUGGUCCCAGUUUGCCCCUGCAUGUAAUUGUAUUGUCCAUUGUGCUUAUUGUUGCCAGUAUCUUUUUAUUGCCCUGUCUAUGUGAAGAUGUUCAUAGGAGAUUAUUAAAAGCACAUGAACUUGCAAUUUAAAUGUAUAUUUGAAUAAAUUCAGCCAAAACAACCUUUCCAUUAACUUACAAAAUCAACGUCUGUUUGUUUUUCCAGUAAUUACAGUAGAGUAUGUAUCGAUACACUUUGCUUUCCAAUUUCUAAAUGUUCAUUUGUGAAUAAUAAACGGUAUAUAAUUAGGGACAGAUCAAAAUGUACCUCUCCACAGUUAAAUAUUUUCACGACCCUCCCCCCUCAUAGAAUUAACUCAAUAUAAUGUUUACGACCACAAUAACAAGAACUGUAGCGACCCUGUUUUUAUCAACGUGGAUAUUGACUUUGCCACUUCAGUCUGCUUUUCUGGCACAGUUGAUGCCACGCAGGGCUUUGGGCCAGAAGGUUGAGGGUUCACCGACCACCACCGACGAGCUCACUCUCCCUGCCUGUUUCAUCACAUUACGAUCAGAGACGGAGGCAGACCAUGAUCAGCUAGGGGGAAAUCAGAUUUUCAACAUUUUGAUGCCAUAUUUAUAUAAAAUAUAUUCAACGAAUCUUCCACCGACAGGUUUAAUAACCAAUGAACAAAGCAAACCACCUUCUGGCACUUCAAUAUCACGGUUUGUGUUGUGAACAAACAGAACAUACACCCCUCCCUACCUUGUAGACUUACCCAGUAUUGAAGGCUUGGCUUGACAAUCUCCUAGUGUCAUUAAACUUUAUAGUGUUUUGGAACAAUGUCUCUUUUCAUUCAUCAUUUGGCCACUGCACAGUUUGGAUUGAUUGAUUUUAUUUGUCUGUAAAAUACAUAUAUAUACAUAAUUUUUUUAAGUGACUGGGAUUGCACAAUAAAGUCUGGGACUUA